ACUGCAUACUAAAGUAGCAAUGAGUGAGUCUGUGGUCUAAGCAAGUCUUAGUCUUCUUGAAAACCAUGUUUCAGUUGCUCAGUUCAGACAUGAGCCAUCUUUUCUUCCUAAAUUUUUUUAAAAAAGAGAAUUACUGUGGCUGUUUCUCAUUUUCAUUAAGUUGCUGCCUUGCUAGGAAAUUACUGAGGCCACAAGAGUGGUUCCACCAUGUCUCGAAGAGCAAGCUGAAGGUACAUGAAGUCAGAGAGCACAGGACCACGAAUUUACCUCCUCAGCCCCCUAUGCUGAAUACAUUUUGUUAGAUACUGCUGAUCUAUGAGAACAUUAGGCGUUGUUACACUUCAGUACUUCGUAAAUGGUGUUUCGGUGCCAGUCUGUUGAGAAUUGCUGUGUGAGGCACAAGGAGACACUUUUGCACUGCUGUGUCCCACUGAAGAACAGUGAGGAAGCGAUGCGCUGUAGAAGGCAAACUGCAGACCGUGGAGUGAACAACUGUCCCUGAGUGGAGGAUGGAGUGCUGCCAAAAUGUUCCAAAUGGAAGGGCUUGGAAUUUGCCUGAAGGGCACAAACAGAUGGGAAGGUUCGCCUGAGGAACUGUGACGUCCAGAAGGAAAAACUGAGGAGAUGGAAGCGACUGUGUUCCAGCUAGGCUGUUCAGGCUCCCUUCCUCACUCACAGAAGUACAUACGGUCGUUUGCUUCAUCCUAAAAUAUGUCUGGAAUAUUUGAAUAAAUCCCCAGAGGUGCCUUUCUCUGUUGACACUGCAGAGCGAGGCCAGAAGCUGAGAUGAGCUGAGUUCUGGACAAGUGAAGAUAGGUGCUCUGAAACCUGCCUUAGCUGCCCGUGUCACCUCUCCCUACAAGCACAGGAGAUCAUUUUGUUCCUAGUUAAUGAAAAGUAGUGUAAGUAAGAGGUGAAGGACAGCAUUUGGGGAAAUGAAAACAUUGGAAUUCUGUGGCUCUUGCUGAAGAAGUAGAGGUCACUGAUGCAGAAGUAAACUGGUUUUACCUCUCUGCAAUACAAAAAUAAAUGCUUUGCUGGGCUUUUUAGUACCAUGGUGCUUAGCUGAAGUGUUUAUUUCCUGCAGGUGAACGUUAUUGUUUACUUGCACUGAAAACAGCAACUGUGAUAUCAUCCCUUUGAGGUUCAGAAUGUUCUUAAGUUACCUUAUAAAUGAUCGUGUGCUACGAACAUAGGUGGCCUUCAUGGUAGUGCUCUGUACAUCGGCCUCGCUUGUGAGUGCAGUCAGUGCCACCUGCACAAAAAAACCC
rnacentral:lncRNA from 1 species